rnacentral:rRNA from 1 species
GAUGAACGCUGGCGGCGUGCUUAACACAUGCAAGUCGAACGGAGUGCCUUUGAAAGAGGAUUCGUCCAAUUGAUAAGGUUACUUAGUGGCGGACGGGUGAGUAACGCGUGAGGAACCUGCCUUGGAGUGGGGAAUAACACAGUGAAAAUUGUGCUAAUACCGCAUAAUGCAGUUGGGCCGCAUGGCUCUGACUGCCAAAGAUUUUAUCGCUGAAAGAUGAGCUCGCGUCUGAUUAGCUAGUUGGCGGGGUAACGGCCCACCAAGGCGACGAUCAGUAGCCGGACUGAGAGGUUGAACGGCCACAUUGGGACUGAGACACGGCCCAG